UCGACCUAGAACCCGCGAAACUAGAAAACUCAAACACCAGCCUCUCUCCUUCUCACUGUGCUCUCUCAGAUCUCGAUUCUCACUCUCUCCUUCAUCUUCUCACUCUCUCUAUUCUUCUUCGUAGUCUCUCAUUCUUGUUCUUAGUCUCUACUUCAUCUUUCAUGUUCGUAUUAAUGGAGCUCUCCAGCAAGAGCUGUUUUCAAAUCGAAUAUUGGGAAACUUGGUGCUACAAAAGGAUUUGCUGGGAAGGCUCACUGCUCGUAGUGUAGUGCAGAAAAACAGAAGGCUUGUUUGUCUAAAUUUAUGGGGAGUCUUUUUCCCCAAUCAAUUUAUGGGUCUUGUUAAUUCAUUACCUAGACUCUUUGACAGCCAAACACUCAGUUAACAAAAACCAAGCUAUCUCUGUUCUCUUUCCAUUCCGCUCCCACUUCUCUCCUAAGCUCUCAAAUACUUGAAUCUUCUCACUUCAUUUUCAUCUAAGGUCGAAAAUCAGUAGCUACUUUACAAAGAUGCCUUGCUUCUCAUCAUGUUAAGAGAACAAAUGGAGGACUUUGAGAUUUCAAACCACUGACCUUCUCUCUAUUUUGCUUCAAUACCAGAAAUUUUUUUUCCUUUCGACUAAGCCCACAUAUGGUGAAGCUAUAGCUAUUGCCCAGUCUCUAAUUGAGUGAUUUAUCGAGUUCUGGGAUUUGCCCAAUCGAAGUAUGUGACCUUAAUUCCUAUACCACUCAGUCAUUUGAACAAAUUUAGAAGUUCAACCGUUGUACCGAGUCGGGGCCUCCAUCAUUCGCAAACACAUAAGUAGAAGAACCUUACUGUUCAAAGCUCACAAUCAAGAUUGGUCAGAGGAACAACAAAAGCCCUAGAAUCAUAGUCCUCCACUUUAUUGAAUAGCAUUGUUCCAAUGGAGAAGGAUCAGAAGGUAGCAUCUGAAGACCCCAAGGUGGAUAUGUUCGAGCACGAUGACGAGUUUGAAGAGUUCAACAUCAAUCUAGGUAAUUUGGGGACAUGUUAUUAAUAAUCAGCAAUUAAGUGCUGUGGACUUUAUUCUGCUUCUUUGGACUUGAAUGUAAUGUUAUACACGAUUGGAAUUUAGGAGCUGUACCGAUAUAUUGUAGCAUACACUAAAUUUAGUCCAGAUAUCUUCCACCUGACCUCCAUGUUUAAAUAUGCAUUUUAUAUGCCUUUGUACAUAUGGUUUCUAAUUAGAUUAAGCUCUAAUAUUGCCGUGUUGCUCUUGUCAAAAUUAGAUUGUUGGUCUAAAAUCAAUUGUGAUAAUAUAGGUUGCUUGAUUUCUGCUAUACUUCCCCAUGAAACUAUCAAGUUUAUGACUGAGCCCGUAAGUGUUAAACGUGAUGAGUUGAUAAUAUAGGUAUGCAAUCCUCCUGUUUUUUUUUCCUCUCUCUAUGAUGUCUAUAAUUCUCACCUUUUGAAUGGAUUCUGUGAUCAGUUUGUUUUUUUAGAUUGAUUUACCAAACGACUGUGGUCACUCAAUUCAACUUGGAACUAUGAUUUUUUUUUUUUUUUGGGAGCUUCUGUAUAAUGAAUUUAAUUGUAGAGACACCUUCUAAUUAUGUUUUGCUUUUUGUUGCGAGGAUCAUGUGUGUUCUGUGAGACGUUGUGAGAAAUUUUAAAACUUUGAUGGGCGAUCUUAGGCCUUGAUCGCCUGAGCCAAACGGCGCCGUUUUGGAGGAGAGGCCGACCUCAUCUUCUUCAUCCGUGUUUUCAAUUUCAACAAAUCAGAGGGACGUUUCCGCCGAGUACUGGCGGAGAGCGGAGGAGGCAAUGCAGGGGGUUAUAGCUCAGAUCCAACGUACUCACGUCUCCGAGCGGAGAAGGAAAGCCGCCAUUGAUUACGUUCAGAGGAUCAUUGGAGCUUGUAUUGAUUGUUAGGUGUUCCCGUUUGGAUCAGUACCUCUGAAGACGUAUCUGCCGGAUGGAGUGCUGUUCUUGAAAGGGAAGAUCACAAUAUGGCUGCUGAGUUUAUGGUGAAGGACGUGCAGUUAAUUCGGGCAAAGAAACACUUGAAUCUGCUUACUUCACUUUCAUCUAAGCUCGAAAAUCCGUAGCUACUUUAUGUCUACGCCUUGCUUCUCAUCAUGUUAGGAGAACAAAUGGGGGACUCUGAGAUUUCAAACCACUAACCUCUCUAUUUUGAUCAGUAUCAGAAACUUUCUUUUGGAUCAAGGGCUCAAGUGGACUGAAGAUUGGUCCUUUGGUACUUGCCGGGAGUUGCACAUCAAGGAUUCCAGGUAAAGCUUGUAAAGUGCCUUGUGCAAAAUAUUGUGGUUGAUAUAUCCUUCAAUCAGUUAGGAGGGCUAUGUGCGUUAUGCUUUCUUGAGCAGGUUGAUCGUCUCAUUGGCAAAUAUCAUCUCUUUAAACGUAGUAUCAUACUGAUUAAGGCAUGGUAUUGUGAAAGGAGAGUGAUCCUAAGGGACCAUAGUAUGCAAACAACACUUCAAAACUUGAAUCUGAUCUCUCAAGUCAGUGGAGAUCGCUCAUUCACAUGGAGGAUAUCUUCGUAAAUGAAGGCAACCACUUUCAUUCCUUUAUCAAGUGUUGAACAAAUCGAAUAUGCUUGACAUGAUUGGCUUCGUAGACCCUGCUUAGACUGGUGUCAUUGGCUGUGGAAAUUCGACUAAACGAGCUCGUUCUUUGUCAGCUUCUUAUUAAAGAGGGAAGCCUAGUCAGAUUUUUUGGGUGCCCUAUAACUCAGGGUAUGAAAGCUUGAUUCAUGCAUAUAUUUUGUUGGUUGCCCAGAUUAAUAGAUAUGGGCCAUUUUGAACUUAUGCUCAUGAAUAGGUUUGUGUACAUGAGACAAUGGUGGAUUCAUGAAAAUUGCAAUGAAUGAUUUUGGAUGUGGAUAUUAUGGUUUCA